rnacentral:rRNA from 1 species
UACGGGGGGGGCAAGCGUUGUUCGGAAUUACUGGGCGUAAAGGGCUCGUAGGCGGCCAACUAAGUCGGACGUGAAAUCCCCAGGCUCAACCUGGGAACUGCGUCCGAUACUGGAUGGCUUGAAUUCGGGAGAGGGAUGCAGAAUUCCAGGUGUAGCGGUGAAAUGCGUAGAUAUCUGGAGGAAUACCGGUGGCGAAGGCGGCGACCUGGUCCAUUACUGACGCUGAGGCGCGAAAGCGUGGGGAGCAAACAGG